GGAGGUAUGGCUCAGUGGUAGAGCGCAUGCUUAGCAUGCAUGAGGUCCUGGGUUCCAUCCCCAGUACCUCCA
rnacentral:tRNA from 1 species